rnacentral:lncRNA from 1 species
GGUGGAGCCUGUCCCGUUGUAGAAGCUUGUUUGGGAUCCGACUUUGAAGAAGCUCGGCUGAAGUCUACCCGUAAUAGAAGUUCGGAAGAAAUUUGUUUACAGUGGAGAUCCGAAGUAGGCCAUCUCCAGUAGGAGUUCGGAGUAGAUUGCUUGCUGUAGAAGUUUGGCUCUCGCAGGAGCUCGGAUGGAAUUCGGAAGGCGGUCGACCGUCGUAGAAACUUGGAUGGAGUCUGGUUACUGUAGAAAUCUCAUUGUCGGAGAAGCUCGGAUAUUGACGAAGU